UGGGGAAUAUUGGACAAUGGGCGAAAGCCUGAUCCAGCAAUGCCGCGUGAGUGAUGAAGGCCUUAGGGUUGUAAAGCUCUUUUACCCGGGAUGAUAAUGACAGUACCGGGAGAAGAAGCCCCGGCUAACUUCGUGCCAGUAGCCGCGGUAAUACGAAGGGGGCUAGCGUUGCUCGGAAUCACUGGGCGUAAAGGGCGCGUAGGCGGAUACUUAAGUCAGGGGUGAAAGCCCGAGGCUCAACCUCGGAACUGCCUUUGAUACUGAGUAUCUUGAGACCGGUAGAGGUAAGUGGAACUGCGAGUGUAGAGGUGAAAUUCGUAGAUAUUCGCAAGAACACCAGUGGCGAAGGCGGCUUACUGGACCGGUUCUGACGCUGAGGCGCGAAAGCGUGGGGAGCAAA
rnacentral:rRNA from 1 species